UUUUUUUUUUUUUUUGUAAUUUUGUUGAAAAGGGAAGAAUAAUGGAGUAAAUUCAUUUAUUUUUUUAUCCAAAAUACCCUUAAAAUAAAAUCAUUUUGAAUAUAUCAGAACCACUUUUGAGAAGUCAAACUCAUAAUUGUUACUUUUUCAGUUCAUAUUGUCCACGAAAUUGGGGUCCCCCUUACCAAUAAAUGUAUUAAAAGUUAUGUUUCUUUCUCCUUUUUUUUUAUUUUAUAUCUUUUUCUACUCCUUUUUUUCCUUUAUAUUACAUCAUAAUUUUUUAAUUAUUAUUCUUAUUAAAUAUAUUUAUUUAUCUAGAAACUUCGUAUUCUUAGUAAGAUUGUUUUGCUCGUGAUUUAAUUUGAAUUGUUUUUUAAUUAAAUGAAAAAAUUUAAUUAAUUUGAUUUUUCAAAUAUUUAUCAAGUCAAAUUAAUUAAGUCAAUUUUCAUAAUUUUUUUUGUAAAUUUUUCUUGCUAUUUGAUUUUUUGGACUUCUAAAAAAUAUAUGAUACUAUAAAAUUUUGUUAAAGUACAUAUAUAUAGGAUCCUUCAGAAAACAAAUUACGCAUUAUUUAAAAAUUUAAUUAUUUUAAAGAAAAAUGAUAAAAUUAUUUCAAACGAUUUUAAUAUUUUCUUACAAUAUUAAAGAUGAAGAUAUGUUAAGAUAUCUUGUUAAUAUUUGAUUUAAAUAAAAAUAAUCGUUGAAAAUAAUCAACUGAUAAGAAAGAGAGUAAAUACAGUUCUUUACGUAAUUAUGAACGAAUGCAAUUGCAGCUUCAAUGGUUAAAGCUUAAACGAAGAGUCUAUAGGUUACAAGUUAGAUUCUAGGUUAUGUCCCAAUUUUAGGUAUUUUUUUUUAAAUAGACUCUUUGAAGCUAUUAGGAUUUAAAUAAUUUUUAAUGUUAUAUUACUUUGGUAAAUAUGAUUGUAAAAGUUUAUAUUCAGAUUGUUUCAUAAAAAUUGAAGAUUUUUCAUUAUUAUAAGUCGAUCAUUAUGAUAAAAAUAAAUGUACUAAAUAUAGUAUUAUAUGAGUUAUGCACCCUUACAAAUACAAGUCAAUUGAAUGUGAUUAUAUAUGCAUGAUCAAGUUAUAAUAAGAUAAUACUAUUAUUUAUGACUUUGAUCGGUUUAUCUUCACAUAUUAGGAGUUAUUAGACUAUAUUUAUUGAUAAUAUCACAUUUUAAAUUUCCUAGUGAUAUUUAUUAAACAACUGAUAUGAAAGAGAGUAAAUAUAUUUCCUUAUGUAAUUAUGAAUGAAUGUUAUUGCAGCGUGAAUGGUUAAAGCUUAAACGGAUAGUCUACAGGUCACAAGUUUGAAUCUAGGUUAUGUCCCAAUUUUAGAUUUUUUUUAAAAAAAAAAGAUUCUUUGAAACUUUUAGGAUUUAAAUAAUUUUUAAAUUCAAUUUUUUGGUGCAUAAGAUUAUAAAAGCUUAUAUUUGGAUUGUUUCAUAAAAAUUGAAGAUUUUUCAUUAUUAUAAGUCGAAUCAUUAUGAUAAAAAUAAAUGUGAUGGGUACAAUAUUAUAUGAGUUAUGCUCCCUCACAAACAAGUUAAUUGAAUACUAUUAUGUAUGAAUGAUCAAAUUUUAAUUGGGUAAUACAAUUAAUUAUUGUACAUGUCAACCUUUGAUCAAUUUAUAUUCACAUUUUAGUAGUUAUUAGACUAUAUUUAUUGAUAAUAUCUCAUUUUAAAUUUACUAGUGAUAUUCAAUAAACAACUGAUAUGAAAGAUAGUAAAUACAUUUUCUUUCAUAGUUAUGAAUGAAUGCUAUUGCAGUGUAUAUGGUUAAAGCUUAAACAAAUAGUCUAUAGGUCACGAGUUCGAAUCUAAGUUUAGGUUUCCAAUUUUAGGUUAUUUUUAGUUUUUUUUUGUAAGUCUAUAGGUCAUGAGAUUUUUUUACUUUUUUCUCCAGACCUAUCGUAUGCACCAUCAAAAUCUUCAUGAUUUUGGGACAACAAACUAUCAUCCUCAUCUAAAUCCAAAAUAUUAUUCAAUACUUCAUUUAAUUGACUAUUCGAAUUCAUCUUGUUAAAAUUAUAUGAAUCUAACGACAAAAUAAAAUCUUGAACAAUAAAAUAAGAUAAAAUUGUGAACGAAGUAAAGAAGAAAAAAUGAGUAAGGUAAGAGAGAGAGAGAAAAUAAGAAAGAAAAAGUUUAAGAGUGAUUUUUUAUUUUGAAUGGAAACAACAAGUGAUUUUAAAGUCAAAAGGUUAUUUAGUCAUUUACUCAUAGCUUGCCAAUUCAUGCCAAAAAAAUAUCUUGUCAUUUAGUAAUACUCAUUUAUUAAAUGCUCAAUUUGAGAUUGAUUGAAAAUACAUUCCCUUCUAGGGAAGAGGUUUCAUAUUUUGGAAGGACAAAUAUGAGAUGGAGACAUAUACUGCUAUCUGAAUAAUCAAAUAAAUUAAUUGUGAAUAAACUGCCAUGCUCACACCUACCUCAAAGCACCCACCACAUUUCAAUUUUCAUUUAAGGUUUUUGGGUCCAUCUAUUUUUUAACUUUUACAAUAAUCUCUCCGUCUCAUAUAAGACAAAUAUCUUAUUAAAAAUAUUUAUUUCAUAUUACUUGUUUAUUUAGUAAAUUAAAAAAAUUAUUACUUUUUCAUUUUAUCUCAAUAAUCAAUAUAACACAAAACGAAAGAAAUACUAUAUACCUAACACGUGCUUGAGAAUAUAUUUUUAACUUGUUUGGAAUUGGACACCGGUGAAAAUAAAAUAAUAGGUGGCAAUAUGAUUGUAAAGUUUUCUCAAUGGGUCAUUCUCUCUCGGUGUAGGUUACUAACGUGCGUUGGCCAUGGGGAAGAGAGCUCGUGCUCCAUCGCAGAAAACUCUAAUGGCACUGGAAGCAACAACAAAAGGAAAUCUACAUAAAGGGAAAAAGGCAUAGUAGCUUGAACUCCAGGAAGAAAUAGGAAUUGGAUCUGAAUCUAGGGAAAUGGAACAUAGUAAGGCGGAGGUGGAGAAAGAGCACCAGUUGGCUAAAUGAAAUGCCAAGUAUGUAGAGAAGGAGAACAAGGUAGUAACACAAAAACAUUGGGCAGGAAUCACAAAAUCACAAUCUUUGAAAAUGGGGUCUCCGUCUGAAAAUGGAUCGGCGGCAUGGGCAGAUGAAGUAGAAGAGGUAAUGUUGCAGAAACCAAAGGCUGGAAAAGUGUGGGAUACAUUUGACAUUUCUAAACUAGCCAAAGUUGGAUUCAAGUUAGAUUACUUGGCUCCAGAGAAACAUGGUGAAGGGUCAAUAAUCGACAUUGAUUUUGAAGAUAUUGAGUCUGAAGUUAACUAUUGGAAUAAUGUGGUGGUUUGUUAUGUACUGGGUGCACACCUUCCAUUCACUGUAAUUAACGGAUACAUCCAAAGAAUUUGGGCAAAGUAUGGGUUUAACAAGAUGGCGAUGCUGAAAAAUGGAGUCAUGAUAGCAAUGUUUAAUUCAGUUUAGGGAAAAGAGAAAGCGCUAAAAGUAGGAAUUUACCAUUUUGACAACAAGUCAUUUAUUGUCAAAGCAUGGUCAAUGGAUAUGUAAUUCACAAAGGAGGAACUGAAUUCUGUUCUGAUUUGGAUAAAACUUUCAGAAUUUGACUUCAAGUAUUGGAGUCCAAUAGGAUUAAGUAAGGUCGGGAGUUUGAUAGGAAAACCAUCACUGGCUGAUCAGAAUACUGAAAAAAAGCAGGGUCUUAAUUUUGCUAGAAUCCCAAUUGAGGUAGAGUUGGGGGUUAAUCUUCCAAAAAAAAAGUGUAUUUCAAGAAUGUGAAAGUACAGGUGAUAGAACAACAAGUCGUGUAUGAUUGGAAACCCACCCACUGUAAGUUUUGUGACAAGUAUGGGCACACUAGUGAUGAAUGUCGAAGGAAGAAUCCUUCAAAGAAGAAGGGAAUUAUGAAGGAAUAAGAGAAGCAUGGACAACCACAAACAACAGUUGGCCAGAGUAGUGAAAGACAAGAGUUUAAACACGUUGAAUUAAGAACUGCUGCGAAAAAUGUGCAAUGUGAACAACAUCAGGUUGAACACGGGGAAUUAUCUUUGAUGGGUUGGAUAACACCAUUCAAAAUCGGAAGGAGCCAAGGUCCGCAUCAAGUACAAAUUGCUAGUGAUAAUUCAUUCCAAAUAUUUAACAAAUCUAAUGAGGUAAACAACUCAACUCCAAGGUCUGGACAAAUAGUAGGUGGUAGAACCAUUUUUCCAGAAGGGAAUGGUUAGUAUGAUAUGCUGGAAUGUGAGAGGGUUUAGUGCCCAGAAUAAGCAAAAUGAAGUGGUAUUCCUCUGUAAUAAGGAAAAUGUGGGAUUGGUAGGGUUAGUUGAAAUGAAAGUAAAUAGUAAAAAUAUUGAGAAAGUGGUGAAUAAAAUGUUUGGAGGUUGGCAGUUCCUAACCAACCUAGAAUCACACUACAAUGGCAGAAUUUUACUAGUAUGGAGACCAGAUUACUAUAAAGUGGAGCUAAUGAGAAGCUUAACCCAAAUGUUGACUUGCAAGGUCUGUUAUAUACUUCUGCAAUUGACGUUUAUGGUGUAAAUUGCUUAUGCAUACAACAUUAGGGAGGAUAAAAGAAAACUGUGGAAGGAAAUUAAAAACCAAAGUUCAAAUUUUCCAAAGCCAUAGCUAUUAUUGGGUGAUCUUAAUUAUGAUUUACACGCUGAAGAUAGAAUUGGAGGAAACCCCAUCUCUUUACCGGAAGUAGCAGAAUUUCAAGAUUGUAUUGAUGUAAGUGGCUUGAUAGAAUUACCUCAUGAAGGAAAAAAAAAUACACAUGGAAUGAUAGAGUGAUAGGGAAUAGAAUUCAAUCUAAGAUAGAUUGGAUGUUCAUCAAUUUGAUAUGGUUAAAUAGUAUGCCGUCAUGUGGAACAUUGUAUCUACCCGAAGGUAUAACUGGCCACUGCCCUUCAAAGGUCUAAUUACAAAAUCAAGUUACCAGAACAAGAAGAGCAUUCUAGUAUUGUAAUGUUUGGGCACAACAUCCACAAUUCAAUGACAGAAUCCAAGCAGUAUGGGACACACAUGUGGAGGGAUGUAAAAUGUGGAAAGUGGUGAAAAUAUUAAAAUUAUUGAAACCAGGUCUGAAGAAACUAAAUACACAUUAUUUCAGAAACAUUGUUACUGAUGCAUGUGAAGAUAGGGAGGCCUUGUUAGAAGCGCAACAGAAGCUUUAAAAUGAUCCUCAAAACAAGUCUUUACAGGAAGAAGAUAAAGUUUAAUAUGACAAGUACAGGUACACUUCCUAUAUGGAUGAAAGCUUUCUCUAACAACGAAAUAAGGCAACAUGGUUGAAGCUAGGAUAUGACUGCACGAGAUAUUUUUUCGCUGUGAUAAAACAUCGGAGACUCCAGCAGAUAAUAACACAAAUUAUAGAUGACCAAGAUGAAUAGCAGUAUGAUCAGGAGGCGAUUGCAACUAUAUUUGUGAGUUUUUAUGAGCUAUUCGGGUAAGAAGAUUCUACGAAGGAGGCAGAUUGCUCAGCUUUCUUUAGUAAUGGUCAUAUCCUUUCUAUAGAGUAACAACUAGAAGUGCAACAGAGGUUUAAGCAAAUGAAUGUCAAGGAAACAAUGUUCAAGAUAGACUGCAACAAAAGCACUGGCCCUGAUGGAUACGGGAGUGGAUUUUUUACAUCAUCUUGAAAGAUUGUGGGAAAAAAUAUUACAGAGGCCAUCCUAGAAUUCUUCGAAAAUGACAAGUUUUUGAGACAAAUUAAUGCUAUAAAUAUUACCUUAAUUCCUAAAGUUGUUGUUCCGAAAUUUGCCAGCCAAUACAGACUUAUUUCCUGUUGUAAUAUAUUGUAUAAGUGCAUUACAAAAAUGAUCUGCACAUGACAAGACAUCUCCUAGAUGUUUAAUAAAAAUUGAUCUGAGGAAGGUAUACGAUAUGGUGAACUGAGAAUUUGUAAAGAAAGCAUUACAGAGAUAUGGGUUUCCUAAAUUGGAAAAAGAGAUACGAACGGAGAGGAAUAACCAAUCGAUGAAAGAACAUGAAACCAUUCUGUUUCAAUAUAGGUAUGAGAAACGGUUGGGGGCAAUGAAGUAGGUGAAAUGGUUUGGAUUUAAGUAGAUUUACAGAACUUGUCAUGACAUGUGUCACAUCCGCUAUGCUUACGGUUAAGGUAAAUAGAGAAGGGAGUGGUUUUUUUGCUGGUAAACGAGGAUUAAUAUAGGGGGAUCCUAUGUCGCCUUUGUUGUUUGUGCUUGUAAUGGAAUACUUGUCCUAAACUUUGAAGUGUAUGAGUGAGUUGCCUGAUUUUCAUUUUCACCCAAUGUAUGAGAAACUCAACUUGACGCAUUUAAUAUUCGCAAACGAUUUGAUGAUGUUUUGCAAAGGGGAUGUUCAAUCAGUAAGCAGAAUAAUAGAGGCUUUGCAGCAUUUCAGUAGUGUCACUGGUUUAGUUGCAAAUAUGGAGAAGUCAAACAUAUUUAUGGCAGGGGUAAAUGAUAUUACCAAAAAGCAAUUGUUGCUAAGAACAUGAUUUUCGCAGGGCUCUUUUCCUAUUAGAUAUCUCGGGAUGCCGUUAUCUUCUAAUAAAUGGAGUAAAAUGGAGUGUCAUUAACUGAUACAAAAGAUCACGAGUAGAAUAACAAAGGUCUACUCAGAACAGUUAUCCUAUGUAGGAAGACUACAGGUGACAAUAUCAGUAUUGUUUGAUUUUCAUAACUUUUGGGGUUCUGCGUUUAUUCUACCACAGGGUGUAUUAAAAGAAGUUGACAAAAAAUGCAGAAAAUACCUCUGGAGCGGUAAGUAUGAUAAGAGGAGGACACUAUUAGUAUCUUGGGACAAAGUGUGUCUGCCUAAGAAGUUCGGUGGACUAAAUAUUAAGGGGAGCAAGUUGUGGAAUGUGGCGUCGGUGGGAAAACUUUUAUGGCAGUUAAUAGUCAAUAAGGAUGUAUUGUAAGUCAAAUAGUACAUGGGGUGUAUAUGAAGGAUAACCAUGAUAUCUGGGCGCAUACAUCACCGCAAGAUAGUAGUUGGUACUGGAGGAAGUUGAAUGCACUGGAGUCUGAUAUGGCGGAGUGGUACUCUCAAGGAGCUUAUGUCCUAGCAGAAAAUGGGAAGUACUCAACAGGAGCCAGUUAUGCAGUAUUGCUAGGCAUAAAGAGAAAAAUGAGGAUUUCAGACUUGAUAUGGAGCAAGAUCUCUCAACCAAGGCACAUAUUUAUAAUAUGGUUAGCUGUACAUGGUAGAUUGUUGACAAAAGAUAGACUACAAAGGAUGAAUAUACAAGUAGAUAAUAUAACAUGCAACUUGUGUGAUGACCAGUCUAUAGAGACACAACAUCACCUUUUUUUCUGAAUGUAAUUGGAUGAAAGGACUCAUUACAGCAAUGACUCAAUGGGCUGGAGUGCAAUUUCCAUCGAGGAAUGUCAAACAUGUGUUGAAUUGAAUCAGAAGGAGGCACUGGAAGCAAAUUAACAAGGAAAUAAUUGCAGCACUGUGGGGUUCCAUACUAUAUCACGUGUGGAAGGAAAGGAAUUGGAAACUGCACAGGGGAACUAUUGUCAUUAUGAAAACUACAAUCACACAAAUAAAGAUAAGUUUUAGUGUUAGAUUAGAGUUAGAAACACUAGGAAAGGCAAAAAAUGUGAUUUGUUAUUUCAGCAUUUUACUAUGUAAUUAGAGAUAUGUUGGAGGUUUAACUCAAAACAGUCCUUCUUCGAAAUAGCUGUAAAGUUAAAUGUUCUUUAGGUGUAUUGAUUUGGUUGUUAAUGGUAAUAUAACCAAAACAAAUAUGAUUGUCAUGACAAUAAUAAGAGAGUACAAAGUAUGAUCACUUGAAGUACAACUAGGGCCUACAGGUAGUAAAAUAGUUAUUGUUUGAUCAUUUUAAUAAUAGGUUAAGUAAAAAUUAAUAGAGAAAUUUUUGCAAAUAGUCAUUAUAGUAAAUUUAAUUAUGUUUCAUAAUUAUAGGUUGCAUAUUUAUAGAUUGUAGCUAUAAUUUAAGUUGUCUCGUUUGUAUUAUUCGUGGAUACAUUUGUAUAAUUCACGUGUACGUUUGAAUAAUUGAGAUAAUUUGUAUAAAUUCGUAAUUACGAAUUUAUACAAACACAAAUAUUUAAACUUUAAAAAGUGAUACAAAUUAUAUUAUAAAAAAUUUAUACAAAUUUUAGUAUUUAAAUUUGAAAUUAUACAAACUCGAAACCCUAUCCCCACAUAAUUAUUAUUGAAUGUUGAUCUCGAUUCACUACAACAAAAAUGAUCACUAUCGGCAAUUAAUUCUCAAUUGUGCUAAACGUGUAUUUUUAGCGGCAAUUGACACUCUUUGUAUCUGUCCCUUAAACUUUUAACGACAUUGGUUCUAAUGAAACUUAACUAAUGUCGGUAAAGACUUUAACACUCUUUAUUAGGCCUCAUUUGUUUGCACUUAAUGGAGGUCUGAAUCUAAAUCAUUCAAAUUCAGCUUAUUAAGUACAUUUGGUUUUUAGGUUUGAAUCUCAAUCAGCCCAUUAAGUUCAUUUGUUUUAUUUUUAAAAAGCCUCUUAAUGGGUCUGAAGAGGUCUGAAUGAAUCAGAUCUGUAGGAGACUCUUAACAACAUUCAGAUUUGUUUAAUAAGUUAUCAAAUAAUAAAUAUCGCUUCUCUACUUUAACCGUGCUUUUUGUCGCAUAACUAAAAACUUUGUUUUUCUCUUUUCUCAAUCAAACGUCAUUUUCCCCUUCUUGAACUGAUAAAUUUUCAUAAAUCUUUUCAAGUUUUUUUUUAUAUUAAUUUUCUUGUAUUGACUGUGUCAAAAACAUUGUUGGUGUAUUAGCUAGCGUUUAUCAAGGUUUUUGAAUGAAAAAAAUUUCCAAAAUCAUGAUUAUUAAAACUUUUUAUUAUCAAAAGCGAUAUAUUUUGUUGAAAUGAAAUUUUUAUUAUAUUUUAUUAGUUUAAUGUUAAUUUCACAUGCACAUUCAGAUAUUGAAAACAAACAAUAUUAAUUAUUUAGUGUUCAGAUUUAGAGACCACAUCUUAAUAUUCAGAUGUGUAUUCAGAUCAAAGUACCUGAAUCUUAAUAUUCAGAUGUGUAUUCAGAUUCAGACCUCUUAGUCUGGCUGGAAACAAAUAAGGCCUUCCGCUAUUUUUGUUGUAGUGAGUGGUAAUUAAUUAAAAUUAUAGUUAUAUAAACUAAUUAGCUAGUAUAUGUUUGCUUAACUAUACUAUUUUCCCAAAUAAGUUUAUAUUAUCCAUCAUAAAAUAUAAAUAACCACACGUAUUAGAAUGUAUAAAAAUAAUGUACAAUAGAGUAUAUUAGUAACACUUAUAUAUUAGUAAUAUUUGUAUUAGUUAUGCUUGCAUUAGCUAUAUAUAACUUUUUAUUUAUGCAUUGUUUGGUUUGAUGUAUUAAAAAUAGUACGCAUUGUAUAAUUAUAUUUAUUUACAAAAUAGUCUCCACAAUUAUGACGGAAAAAACGUAAAAUGUUUUUAGGGUCAAUUGGGUCUUUAACCAUAUUAAUACACAUAAAAAUUAAGAAAUUGACGCGACUCCUUAAAAAGGGCAUGUAAUUACAGUGGGCGCGAAAUGGCGUGAGCAUAUGUGAUGAUUCCCCAACUCAAUGCGGAGGAGCUCGUAAAGUUUGCUGAGAAAGUUUUUUGUGUGCUUUGAGCGCAAGAUCCAUGGGUUACCACAUAUGAAAAAUUAAGGAAUUUCUGUAAUUCCUAAAAAAAGGGCCUGUGGGUGUGGAAAUGAGCAAGAAAAUAAUAGCAUGAGCAUACGUGAUAGGUCCCAACUCAUGAAUUUGGAGGUCCUCAUAAAAAAUUUUCAAAUUUUUUUUUGCGUGCUCAUGGCUAAAGAUCUAUGGGAUAAUACAAAUAGAAAAUUGUGGAAUUUAAGCUAUUUCAAAAAUGGGCCUGAAGAUGCGGAUAUGAGUGAGAAAAAAAUGGUGUGAUCAUGCGCGAUGGUUCCCAACUCAAUAUAGAGGUCAUCCUACAAUUUUCUUAGAAAUUUUUUGAGUGCUCCAAGCGCCAAAUCUAUGAGCUAAUACAUAUAAAAAAAUUGAAGAAUUCACGCGAUUCACAAAAAUGACAUAUGGAUGCGAAAAUGUGCGCGAAAAAAAUGGUGUGAGCAUACAUGAUGGUUCUGCAACUCAAUACGGUGGUCCUCAUAAAGUUCUUUCAGAAACAUCUUUUGGGUGCUCCAAAAGUCAGACCCAUAGGCUAAUACACACAAAAAUUGAAGUAUUUGCGUGAUUUCAGAAAAGGCAUGUAUAUGCAAAAAUGGGAGAAGAAAAUGGUGUGAAUAUAUAUACGUGAUGGUUCCCAACUCCAUACGGAGAUCCAUAUAAAGUUUUUUGAGAAAAUAAUUUUUGGUGCUCCGAAUAUAUCGUCUGUAUGGUUGCUACGGAGCAUCUGAUUUGUAUAGAUCGACAUAUCAUUUGUAUUAAAGCGCAAUGAUUGUAUAUAUAUAACUAUAACAGAGGAGGAGGAGGGACUAGGGAAGAGGAGGAGGAGGAGGAGGAAGUUGUCUCAAUGUAUUUGAUAAAUAGUUUUUGUGAUAAGAGGCGGACCCACCCUUUUAGGUAGGGUGCACGUGCACUUGUUAAUUUCGGUAAAUAAAAUCAUGAGUUUGUGAGUGUAUGUGUGUGUAUUGAUAUAUAUUGAAAAAUUGAGAGAAAUUAGAAUAUAAUUAACGUACUCAUCAUAAAAAGCAUAAGUAUAUAUGUUAUUGUGCUGCCGGUACAAGCUAAAGUAUGCACAUGCAAGACUUGAAUUUGAAUCUAGCUAGAGUGUUGUUUCACUUUUUUUUAUGUUAAGCUUAUCAUAGAGGCUAAAGCUUAUAUUUGAGCUAAGGUAAUAUUGGUGCACCAACUUCAAAUUCCGAUUCGCCUUUUGCAGCAUUAGUUAUUUUUAGCCAAUACGAUAACUAAAAUGGAUCGGAGGGAAUAUCAUGAUUUGAAUAAAGGAUCUAACCAGAGUCAAAUUUAAAUAUAUUGAUGAAAUUUCUAAAAUUCCAACGUUAUAUCAUCCUUUUCUUAAGAAUUACCAAAUCAUAAUUAGAGUUGAGAAAAAUUUAAAGCAGAAAAUAACAUGUAUUACUAUAUGAAGAUUGGGUUGUAACAUAAGCAACCACCAAUGUUCAUUACAAGACUCGACAAUAUAUAAGUACUCCAAAUUACAAAAGAAAAGAGACAACAUAUAUAUAUAUAUAUAUAUAUAUAUAUAUAUAAUGAUGGAUCAAACUCGAUAGAUAAAUCCAUCUUAUUCUUCAUCUCCACAAGCCAGAUUUAGCUUUCAUCAACCUUACUGGACCCUGCAAUGCAAUAUUAAAUCAACAUUAAAUAUAUAGUAUGCGCGUACACACAUAUAUAUCGUUUUGUAACAUAUAAGUUUAAUCAAUAGUCAGACAUAUAUAAAUUACAAAUAAAAGAGAUAUUAUACUGUCAAUUGAAUAAGUAUAAUCACCGUACGUUGAGCAAUCAGUGGAAGGGCUGAUCUUGUAAGGAAUGUUGACUCCACAAACUCCAGGGAGCCCAGCGGCUUUUCCUGUAUCAAUGCCCUUAAUAGAAUUAGCUGCCGAUUUAAGGCAAGUGCACGCUGUCUUCCGGUCUUCUGGGGUCUUGGCUGCGCCCAAUAGACCCUUAACACCACCACAACACCCUCCUAGAGGGCCGCGACCCUCGAGAUAAGGGAGACAAGGAGCCAAGCCAGACGUAACCUCGCCGCAGCUCAGUGACUCUGCAUGGGGUGCAACCACCACCAUGCAAAAAACCACAAAGCAUGCAAUUUUUCCAAACAUUUCCAUUCUUAUAAAAAAAUUGAGUAAAGAUUAUAGAUAUAGUAGUACAAUUGUAUUUGUUUUGUGUGUUAGGUGUAAAAGCUAGUGAGUAUUUAUAGAGAGGAAAUUAGUGGAAUUAAAAAUGAGAGAAUUAGUUGGGAGUUAAGAGUUAAAUGAAAUGAGUAUAAAGUCAAAUUUCGUUUGUUACGUGACUAAUUUUUAUUGAACCACGCUAUACACGAUUUAAGGCCCAAUCCACAAAUUGUCCCAAUACUACUUUUCCUGUUACAGUGACGAAGUCAGAAAAUUUAAUUAUAUCGUAAUCUUUUUCUUAAAAUAAUGUGUGUUCGAUGGCUCUACUCAUGCUUUGAAUCAUUUUAUUUUUUAUUCUUUAUGGUAUAAAGUAAAUGUUUUUUUUUUAGAAAAAAAAAAAAUACAAGGAGAAGAGUGGUUAUUAAAUAAAGAAGAGUAAUAAAUAAGGAGAAGGGUGGGAUGUAAAAAAGUCAUAAUACAUGAAAUUGAUUAAACAAUGUCUCGAGUACAAACUAAGGAGACAGAGUACCUUACUGUUAGAUGUGGAAAUAUUAUGGUACAUGAGUUAAUUUUGAAACAAAUGACCCAUUAAUUUCUUUUAAAAAUUGGAUUUAAGGUGUAAUGUUUAUUUAUUUAAAUAAAUCAAUUUGCUUUCAUGACUUUUUAUUUUUAAAAAUGAGUUUAAGGUGUAAAGUUUAUUACUUAAUUAUAAAUGAUUAAAUAUUUUUGUAUGUUCAAUACAAAUGCUUGUUUCCGGUCAAAAAGAUCAUGAAAAAAGUAUACAAAAUAAUUAAACCUAUAGCAAAAUUAUAAUUAUGUGUUAUAGUUAUAAGUUGCAUAAUUUGCUCACCAUAGCGAAUAUGCUAUGGCUAUUUCGCUACAUAUAUAUAUAUAAAAGAAUUUAAGAUAUAUAUAUUUAUAUAUAUAUAUAUAUGUGUGUGUGUGUUAUAGUUAUAAGUUGCAUAAUUUGCUCACCAUAGCGAAUAUGCUAUGGCUAUUUCGCUACAUAUAUAUACAAAAGAAUUUAAGAUAUAUAUAUAUUUAUAUAUAUAUAUAUAUAUAAUAUAUAUUUGCAUAAAUUAUUGUCCGUCUCUCGUGGCUGCCUUUCAAUUCAAUUUUAUGUGUUUGUAUAUCUGUAUAUAAUUUGAAUUUGUAUACAAUUUAAUCGAAAUAAAAUGUUGGUAUAUCAAAUAUUGCUCUCUGUUAUACAUUGUAUUUUAUAUAAUCUAUACUUCUAUAAAGCGAGAAAGAGAAAGACAAAAGAGACCUAAGCAUGAGAAUAUUUGGAUUGUAUAAUUAUAAGUGUAUAGAACAAAAAUAUUUGUAUUUGCAUGUGUACAUACAAUUUUCUUCCGCUUUGUACAAACAGAAACACAAUUUAUACAUUUUUGUUUGUAUAAAGCGAGAGAGGCGGGGGAGAGACUGGCGAACAAGAGAGGGAGAGUGUCGAGCGAGAAUUUCAAGGAGAGAGGCGAGAACUGUGGUUUUAACAUCUAAUUUAAAUCAAUAGUUUGUCAUUAUAUACAAUUUUCUCAAUUAAAAAAAAAUAAAUCUUUUUAUUAAAUUAAUUUAAUUUACUUUUCAAUUUGGAUCGGUUUAUAACUAAACCUAUCAAAUCUUAUACAACAAUUCGUCAAACCUCAUGUCCCUGAUUACCCCUUCUUCCUUGUGGAGAGGUUUAACAACCAUCAAAGGAUAUAGGGCCACCCUAUAAUAAAACAAACUUUAAACGGUAAUAGAUAUAUAAUACAAUUAUUAAUUUUAUCAUUAACAUAAUAGAAUUAGUUAAUUAUCAUUGGUGUACUAUAGUUAUAGGCUUGAAAAUAUUUAUAAAGAGUGUUAAUUAUCUUUAAAAUAAAAUGUUUUGUCACAAUUAAGCUAUUAUUAUUAAUUAAUUAUCGCUAAAUUAAAACUAGUAGCGAAACUAGAAUCAGAAACAGAUUUAAAAAAAAUAUACGAAAUAUUUUUCUUAAAGAAGAAUUGUUGUUAAUAUGUGUCUAAAGAAUCUUACUCAUUCCAACAAGCUUUGCAAAAACACGAAGUUACCAAGUUUAAUGAACCAGUGAAGAACAAAAGAAUAGAAGAAUUGGAAUUAAUUCACAAAUCUAAAAUUUGUAAAGCACGUACCAGAAUCUGAAAAUUUUUAAUAGGAAAAAGAUCAAGUCUACUGAACUCACAGUGUUCCCUUAAGGAAAUUAUUCCCCUCUAGUAUCCGAGGUUUGAUUUGGAAUAUGACCUUCCAGGGUAAAAUAAUCUCAAUCAUCAGAGUAUAGAUACCAAAAACUCAGGUGUCAGUGAACCACUCAACGACAGUAAAGUACACUUAGAAUACUAGAUUUAGUAGUUGAAGAAGAAGUCCAUCAAUUCUAUUUUAAUAUGAGAGGAAAUCCCUCAAUUUAUAGAAAACAAAGGGUAGUGCAAAAAGGUUCUUAUUGUGCCUUACCGAAAAGGUCACAAACCUUUGGAAAAGUCACAAUCUUUCAGAAAGGUCGUCACCUUUCAUAAAAGUCACAACUUUCCAUAAAAGUCACAAGUUUUUAUAAAAGUCGCAACUUUUCAUAAAAGUCGCAAACUUUCAUAAAAAUCACAAUUUUUCAUAAAAGUCGCAAUUCUUCAUUUUCCAUUCACACCUUUUUAAAAUCGAACAAAAGAUCUUCGAUAUGAAUUAAUUUCUCUUAAUAAGACUCUACGUGAUUUGAAUAUGAAAUUAUCUAAGUUUAAUAUAAAUAAUAGUCAAAUUUUAAUACAAAUAUAAAAAGAAAAUAGAAAGAAGUUUGACGAAUAUGAGGUGGACACAAAUUGCCAAUCUAAUAGUCGACUGAGACUGAAGAAAUUAAUUGCGACAACAACCAAUGAAUACGACUUUCUCUAUUCAUUUUAAUUAUUCAUAAUAUUAAAAAAAAAAAUUAAUUUAUCCACUUAAUUAGCUUAUCAAGAUAAAUUAUAUAUUUUAUUUUAUUAUUAUUAGCUAUGUAUUCUAUUUUAUUUUUCAAAUUCAUUGAGACUAUAUAUAUAUAUAUAUAUAUAUAUAUAUAUUAUUGCUAUUUCUUAAUGGAACUGUAAAGCUUCUUAUAAACAAGUAAAAAUAACAAAGCUUAUAUUUAUUAAUACAUAGGUUCAAAAUUAUUACCCCUAAGAAAUUAAAAAGGUAUUAAUUAUUUUCUCGCAAGUAAUUUCUUUCAAGUUUCAUAAUGUACAAAGCAUUUAAUAAUCUUUCAUAAUUGAUAUUUUCUAAUAAUUUCUUUUCAAUUAAUAAUAUAACCAAUCUAUGCAGAUUAAUAAUUUUUGAACAUAAUAUUUCAAAUAUAUAUAUAUCAAACUUCUUCUAAUUUUUUUUCUUUCUAUACGAGAAGCUCAAUUUUUCUAUAGUACGCUAUUAUUUUUUGUAAUAAAAAAUAAAAUCUAUUAUUGCUAAAAAGCAAAUGCCCUUCCUUCAAAUUUUGAGGUCUUAAAGGCACUUAUCUUUUGUUAAUUAACCUUGUAGAAUUUGUACUAGAGUAUUGUGGUCCCGUUUGACUUCAAAUAUAUUACGAGAAAAUUUGCAAGAAAAUUUAAAAAAUAAUGUUUGAUCAUAUAAUUUAUUAUUAUUUAGCAAAUAUCUAUCAAAUAUUUUAAUUUUUAAAUUUUAGAAAAAAAAUAAUAUUUGAGUAAAGUUCUAAUAUUUAGAAAUUCAAAUAAAUCACGUCAAACUUUUAUAUUUUAUAAAUAGCAUUCGACAUUUAUUAAUUCCAACUAAUAUUUAUCUACCAAGUUACUCUAUUAAUAACUAAUAAUUACUCAUCUGUGCUAUCUAUAUAGAACCAGACCCAAAAAUAACAAAUUAUUGUUAAUGAAUUAUCAUUAAUAACAAUUAAUUGAUGUAAUGUGUAACAACUUCAAUUUCACAAUAGAAACAUUCAAAUAUUAUAAUCGUUAAAGUCAAAGUUACAACGGAAAAUGAAACUAACAAGAAAAUCGUAAAACGAUAAUGAACUAGUAAAACAAAGAAACCAUUGAAGAAGACUACUAGAAGGGAGAUGAGAAACACAGACUCAAAAAAAGGAAUGAGAGGACUAGACACUUUUCUACAAUAAUUUACGUAAUCCCUAAAUCACGUAUUACUUAUAUUGAAAGUUCGAACCGUUUUAUACCCACUACUCAAUUCGAAUCCCAAAUUAACCUGGUCCUAUAUUUUUAGCCCAAUAACAACUUAUAUGACAUUAAUAUCUAUAUUUGGUUAAACUUGAUUCAUAACAUAUUGCUCCUACCCAUAUUUUUAUUUUGUUGUGAAUUGAUAUUAAUUACUUUAUAAGCUAUUUUUUUAAAAAGGAAUAUGUUUAUUAUAAAAUGACAUUACAAACUUAAAAUAAUUUGUCAAAAAAAUUUAAAAAUUUGAGGCACACUAGAUGUGUACCGUGUUGUGAUAGAUGGGUUGUGUAGAGAGAGGAGAUUUACGAAAGCACAAAAUUGUUUGAUAACAUACUUUUUAAUUUGCUUUUAUAAUCCUCUUUUUUUAGAAAUAUUUUAUUUUUAGUUUUUAGGUAACAUGUUUAAGGUCAUAAUAAGACUAAAUGUCGUUUUGAUAUAUUUGACAUAACUUCAAUUUAGGAUCACAAGAUUAAAUUAUCUUUUUAAACUUUGUAUCAAGUUAAAUUAGAUUGUUAUUUUUUGAAAUGAGAGAAAAUGAUCAAAUGACCCCUUAACGUAUAACCGGAUUUUCAACUAUACACUUAAAUUUUAUGGGAGUCCUAUCACCCUCUGAACUAUUUAAAAAUGAAAUAAUUAUACCGUUAAAAAGCCAUAACCACCAAAUCUAUGGUGGAAUGUGAGUUUCACCACAUCAUCAAAUUAUUAUUUUUUUAAUUCUUUUCUUAUAUAUUCUUACCUAUCUCUUGAAAUACUGAAGAUAUUUUCACCAUUUUCACCAUUACUAGAACACCACGAGUCCAUUAAAAUUGGGUCUUUAAGGAAUAAUAAUAAUUUCAGAGCUCGUUCAAAGAUAUUUGGAUUUUGCUCAUUUGAAACCUAAAAAUCAAAUUAGAAAAAGUUGAAGGGGGAAGAGAAGACGAAUAUGAUGGAAUAUUGCCAUUAAUGGUGGUCACCGAAGAUAAGAAAUCCUCUCAAGAAAGAUGAGGAAGAGGAGCCUACCAUGUCUUCCACAUUGUCAUCUAUAGCGACGACAAUUUCAAAAAAGAAGACACCGAUUAUACGACAAUUGAUGGACUAACUAGAUUAAUAGCUAGAAUUUUUGAGAUAUAGUUGAUUAAUUGAGAUUUGAUAUUAGUAAUUAAAGGAUAUAUUAGAAAAAAAUUAUUUUUUUCUGGUUGGCCCAAUCAGAUUCAAAGUAAACUCAUAUUAAUUUUUCUCAAAUCAGAUCCAAAGCAUCUUGGGGUGAUAUAAAUAUAUGUCAUCAAUUGAUUUAGGUUGAUUGAUUUUGCAAGAGCUUUAUAAAUGUUUGAAAAUUUGUUUGGAGUCGACGAAAGUGAAGAUGGUGGCUGUAAGACUUAGGUGAUUGAGAGAUUUGUUUAUAUUGAUGGACAAGAAAGAAAACAAACAAAUAAUUAAAAAUGCAUAUAUUUGUUGAAAAAAGAUAUUCCAUCUGUUUCACAAAAAAUGAUUUGGUUUGACUUGACAUGAAGUUUAAGUAAAUAAAGAAGACUUUUGAAUCUUGUGGUCGUAAAUCAAAGUUAUGUCAAAUGUACAAAAUUAUCUUUUAAUUUUAUGGUCUUAAAUAUGGCACGUGGAAAGCUAAAGUUAAAAUGUUAGAGGUCAUUCUUUUGGAAAUAAACUAAAAUGGAAAGAAUGUCACUCUUUUUUAAAUAAAAAAGAGUUUAACUACUAUCCACCGACGGUGGACAAAAAAUUACACGGGCAUAUAUUUUUGGAAAUAUUUAAUUUUUUAAUUAAUAUAUUUUAAUAUUAUUAAUAUUAAAAUAAAAAUAAUAACAGAGUGUUAUAUGGUAACUUGAAUUAUAAAUUAAUUGUACAAAUUUAAUUAGGAUUCUUAUUUGUCUUACCAAAAACAAAAAAUACAUAAUUUCUUGUGUUUUCUUAUUGGAAAGCACUUCAAUCCUUCAAAGAAAAUCAUUGCCAACAUAUUUUUUUUUAUAAGAACCGGUACUUGUUGCCAUUGAAGCAAUGCUAGCAAAAUAUUAAUAAGAAACUAUUCCAGAAACAUAAAGUGCAACAAAAUCAACAUAUUCAAACUUAUAAGAGUAAGCAAACAAAAUCAAACACUAUUAAAUACGGCCCAUGAUUUAAUCACAAUUGCAUGCUUGGUUACAUUUUUUUAAACGAAAUCCUUCUUUUGAACAAACAAACUCUUGACCAAUAAUGGAUUUAUCUUUUCUUGAUCUACUAAUUCGAUUUUUGCGCACACUAAAACCAUUACGAUGAGCAUAAUCAAGAUAAAAUUUAAAUCUAGUAUCAAGUGAUUGAAAUUCCAUACCGAUGUAAGACUCUCUUAAUUCUUGCUCACCUAGUUGAGGAACAAAAGAUACAACUGCAUUCAUGUUGCUUUCUAUAUCCUCCAAGGAAUCUUCAAUUCCUUCUGCAUUUUGCUCUUCUAAAUUAGAGAUUUCAAAAGUUUCCUGCAAUACACAAUUAUUAGAUAUUAGACUAAUAGGGUAAGUUAGCUUUAAAAUUUUAAAUAUUUUUCAUGGCUAAUGUAUUGAACUUCUUCAAUUUGCUAAAAAGUUCUUAAACGUAUUCUUUAAAUAUCUUCAUCACUACAAAACAUAAAUUUCUUCAUACAUUAAAACAAGAAUAUUUCUUUGAAACGUUUAUUCAUGUUGCGAAAAAGAUUUAAUAAGUUAUGUAAAAAAAGAUAUACGAGGAAAACGCUACCAUGAUAAUUGUUUCAAAUUGCUUCAAUGGUGGAUAGUUGGUUGCUUCAAUGGUUUAUGUAGAAAAAGAAGAACGUUAAUCCAACUAAGAAAACACAAGAAAUUAUGUAUUUUUUAUUUUUGGUAAGACAAAUAAGAAUCCUAAUUAAAUUUGUACAAUUAAUUUAUAAUUCAAGUUACCAUAUAACACUAUGUUAUUAUUUUUAUUUUAAUAUUAAUAAUAUUAAAAUAUAUUAAUUAAAAAAAUUAAAUAUUUCCAAAAAUAAAAUGUCCGUGUAAUUUUUUUGUCCACCGUCGGUGGAUAGCAGUUAAACUCUAAAGAUCAAAUAAAGUUUUAAUAACAGAUUUUGGUGCUCACUCUCCAGAGAGAGUCAAAUACAUUUAGGGAACUAAUUAUUUCAAUUUUGAAUAGUACAAGGGAUGAUUAGACCCCCGUGAAAUUUAAUUGUAUAGCGUUGAGGGCAUUUAAUCAUUUUCUCUUUGAAACAGAGAAUAUAUAUCAUUACGGAUCUAAUCUCCAAAAGAUGAAGAGUGAGUAAACCCUGAAUAAUUUGCGACAUUUAAUACGUUGUUUACUUUAAUUAAUGGACUUAUAAUAAUAAGUUGGAAAGGACCGAAAAAGUUUAAUAUAUAUUGCAUGGUGAAUUUGUACCUUCAUGAAUUUAUUUAAAAGUAUACUUUUUAUAGGCAUUUGUGAUGGUGAUGAUGUUAUAAGUAUAUUUCUCAAUAAUUAGCAUUAUACGUGUAAGAAGUGGUUAGAAAAAGGAGGUACCUAGAUGAAUGAGCACACAAUAGCGUAUACUAUAUUACUCGAAUUUGAUAUAUAUGUGUAAUGCAUAUUAAAAGAACCCUAGUAAAAGUAGACCAAAAAUAUUGAAUAGACGAGAGAGUACAUAUACCAAAUAAGAUAGAUGUGUAUUAUCAAAGAUUAGAUUAAUACAACAUAGCCAAUCGUGAAAUUUCGAUACAAGACUCGACUACACACGAUUUUAAAAGAAACACAGGAAAACAGAAAGUAACAACUGAUAUAAUAUAAUCAAUCGUCAAAUUUCGAAACAAGACUCGAGUACAUACGAUUUUAAACGAAACACAGAAAAAAGAGAAAGUGACAACUGAUACAACAUAGAAAGAAAGGAUCCAUAAGCAAGAUCAAUGCUAUCUAUCUUAUUCUUAAUUCUCCUCAUGAAACCAAAUUCUGAUGAUCAGCUUUACUGAACUCUGCAUUGAUAAUGAACAAAACCAACAUUAAUAAUAAUAAUGAUGAUAACAAAAACAUAAUGUACUAACUAUAAUAGUAUUUUUUUUAUUAUAUAAUUACAUAUAUAAAUAUUUUGAAACUAAUAUUUCUUAACAGUAAAAUAUAAAUAAAAAAAUGCACUUAUUUUUUGAGAAAACCAAACACACUUGUAGGUGCUAGCACAUAUCAUUUUUUUGUUACUUUAUUUUUCAUACUACGAAGAGUUAGGUGUUGUUAUAGGUAAAAAAAGAUGAAAAAUUUAACAUACUUAGAGCAGUCAGUAGAGGGGCUGAUCUUGUAAGGGAUGUUGACACUACAAGUGUUAGGGAGAGCAGCAGCUUUGCCCAAAUUGAGUCCUGUAAAAGAAGAAGCAGCUGAUUUUAGGCAAGUGCAUGCGGCCUGUCGGUCUACUGUAGUCUUGGCUUGACCCAAAAGACCCUUAACACCAUCACAACAGUUUCUGAGAGGACCGCGGUUCAUUAGAUAAGGGAGACAAGGAGCCAAGGUAGAUGUAACUUGACCACAAGUUAAAGCCUCUGCAUGGGGUGCAACCACUACCAUGCAUAAAAGCACAAAGCAUGCAAUCUUGUUAACCAUUUCCAUUCUUAAUGAUUUAUGAAAAUUAGAAUAGUAAUUAUGAGGUUUAUGAGGAAGUAGUGGAUGAGAAGAAAUGUGUUUUGGUUGAGUGUUUUUAUAGAGGGAAAUUUGGAGUAGAUGGCCAAUGGAGGAGUGAGAGAGGUAGUUGGUUGUUAGGUUGAAAAUUUAAAGCAUUUUUAUGGUUGUACAUUAUUUUGCUGGCUCUAAAGUCAUGUGGUAGCUAGUUCUAACAUCUUACGUGUAGGAGUUUUUUUUUUCUCACCAAAGUUCCCAUAAAUAGAUUCCUCGAUCAAUGUAGGACUUUUACCUACUUUAAUAUCCCUUUUUUUACGUAGAUCCAAUUGAGAUGUGGAUCGAAAAUUCAAACAGGAAUGAAUAUAACUCUAAUAUCAUGUUAAGAUAUGUUUUUUAGAUCUAAUUUAAUAAUAAAUGCUAGCUUAUGAGAGGAGUAUUGUCCACAUCCUUAUAAGUAAAUCAUCAGUUUAUUUCCUGAUUAACGUGAGACUUUUACCUACUCUAACAGUUUGAUCGAAGAUUUUUUUUAAAAAAAAAUUAUGAAGUUAUAGAGUUAAAGAUGAAAUUGUAUUGGAUAAUACUUUUACGAAAGAAUAAAAAUGAUGUGAUUAUAGCUUUAAAAAUAAAAAAAAUAAUUAAGAUUUUAAAUACAACUUCAAGUUAAAUAUUUUACGACCAUAAAUUUAAAUUUGGGAAGUGACGAAGUUUAUUUUACUUCUGGCGUUCUUAGCUGGAUUACAACAACGUUUAAUUAAUCAAGGUCUUCAUUAGUGUUUAGACACUUAACCACCCAAGUCUUUAAUGCUUUUUCUACUUACCAGCUUUAUCUCUUAAAAAUUGAUACAAAAUGACUACGUAUUAUAUUUUAUAAAGUUGAAAAUGUGUUCCAUUUUCUUUUUCAAAAUUAUCCUUAACACGUUCCUUAUUAAAUGUAUACAUUUAGAAAUAAUCAUAUCAAUACACGAUCAAUAGUUAUAACGUAUACUUGUUUCUUAGUAUUUCUUAACCCUUUAAUCACCAAAGAUGACGGUGGUUUUAUAAAUAGGCAUUUCAUUAAUAUAGAUUUUGAGUUUAAAUCAUAUUAAUUAUAAAGUCAUAUUAGUCAUUUUUUUAUGGUACCAACACUACAAUUAAUUACCGCUACAAUAUGCAUUUUUAGCGGGAAUUUAACACUCUUUAUAUAUGUUUCUAAAGUCUUUAGCGACAUUGAUUUUAACGACAUUUAACUAAUGCAGGUAAAGACUUUAACACUCUUUGUUAAUGUCAGCAUUUAUUACCGUCAAAAGCUGUUUUUUGUGGUAGUGCAAUUUAGGAUAAAAAGUCUUACAUCGAUCAAAUACAUGAAAGAUACUUUUCGUUUUUUAAGAGUCAAACAAUUUAAGUUUGACUAGUAAUUUACACACGGAAUUUUCUUUUUAUUGAAAUGAAAUGUAUAUAUAUACUUAUAAACUACGUAAAAGUAUUAUAAGUCAUAAUUCAAAAUAUUUUUAAAAUGUAUAAAAAAUUUACGAUUAAAAUAGAUUUGUUUGAAUCUCGAUAUUCAAAAAGUGUCACAUAAAAUGAGACGAAUGGAAUAUAUAUAUAAUACGUUAGUGAUGCGUUAUAAAAUUAUAUGGGCUUAAAUCUAAAAUGGACAAUAUUACUAAUGACUUGAACCUUUAAAAAUGAUAUCUGUUCAACUCAUGUGUCAUCUUUAUUGAUAUAUAUGGACCAAAGCUCUACAUAUAGGCAAAAUCUCAUGUGGUGGAGUAAACCACUGCGUCUAUAUAAGAGGAGGUGCAUGUGAAACCCCAGAUAAAAAGUGUAACAUCAACAAAAUCAAUUGAUGAAAACAUAAAUUAUAUAAAUAAGCAAAUUUUACAUUUUAAUGACAUAUUUUAAAAUCGCGCAGACCUAGAUUUAACUAGAUUCAGGUAGGAAAAAAGAAACAGAACCUGACACUUUGACGUUUCUUAUAUGUUGCACAAAGUGUUGAUUGCUAAUUGGACCACGAAUUCAGCUAUAUUAUUACAUGCUUUCUCUUGGUCCAUGUAGUAUAAAUUUGUGUCGGUCCCAAUAUUAAUUUGGUAGAAGUUGAGUAAAGAUUUGAGCCACCCAAACUCAUUAAUUAGGCCAAACAAGAGGAAAUUUCUUUGAGACAUAUAGUCUUACCUAGAGGCCUAUAAUUUGGUGUAUAAUGUGGGGAUAUGUUUCACAUGUAUGAGUAUUAUAAAGUUUAUAUAAGUUUUAUAUAAAUGAUUUUCUUUAAGAUAAUAAAAUAAUAUUUACUGACCUUUCCAGAUUGGAUUAUUUUUUGACCUAUAAUUUUAGGUUGAUUUUCUCUGAGUUGUUUCAUAUAUCAAUUUUGACUAUUUGUUUAAAUAGUGUAUUAAUAAUACGAGGUUGUGUAUUGAUUGGUGUGGUUCGAUUUGAGAAUUUAUCAGUUUUAUUUAUUGAUUAUUGGUUUGUAAUCAUAUUUUAACCGUUAUUGAACAGUUAAAAUAUUAAUUUAUCGAUUAUUGGAUUAUUAGUUAGUGAUCGCUAUCGAUUUGAUUAUUGGAUUAACAGUUCAAACAAUUCCCAUUGAGAAUUACUAAUGGACUAAUCACUCAUUACAAUACGCAGUAGUCAGUAGUCACUAUGAACUUUCCCCGGUUAGUCUAUCUACAUAAAAUACUUAAUGAAACUCCAUAUUAAUUCAAAUAGAGAUGUCAAUAUUGCCCAAACUAGCAAAUUCAAAAGGAUUUCUCAUAACAACCAAGCCAAUUUUGAUAUGAACUAUAAAGAGAAACCAUUACGACACUGCUAACAAAAAUCAUUAAUGAUCAUGAGACUUACUAAUAAAAGCUUUUUCGUUUGCAAAUUCUAGCAUAGGGCGAUAUACAGACAUAUCUCAUUGACUCACUCACUGUAACUAGAAGAUAAAAACAAACACUUAAAGUAAGGGAACCAACCAUCUUAACCUCAAUUUUAGACACUUAGAAAAUGCUAUUCAGUAUAACUUUUUGGCGUGGGAGCAGUGACAGUGAAUUAAUGAGUGAUGUCGCAACUCUAAAAAUUCCUAAGGCCUUAAGUGAUAUAAAUGUAAGAUACUAAACUUGUUAUUAGGUUAUCACGACACUCAAUUAGAAAUAUGGCUAAACCGAAAUCCAAAUCGGUAAGACGAUGAAAAGUUUAUAAUAAAUUGAGAUUCGAACCGUUAAAUUAUUAAUCUGAAUCUUUGACCCAAUAAUAAAUAUCAAUCUCGAUUUGAUUUGAUCAGCUCUAUGGUGAUAUUUCAAAUAAAAAUCAUGAAGUUAAAUUAAAAAUUGUUGUUUUUUAAGUUGCCACCUAAUGCAUGGAAGAACUUGAUUAAAAAAGUGUCACGACCCAAAUCCGGGCCGCGACUGGCACCACACUUACCCUCCUAUGUGAGCGAACCAACCAAUCUAACCUUAACAUUUCAAUAUAAUAUCAACAGAAAGUAAUGCGGAAGACUUAAACUCAUUAAAUAAAGACCAAUUCAUUAACUUCUAAAAUUCAACAUCUAUUAUUCCCCAAAAUCUGGAAGUCAUCAUCACAAGAACAUCUACGAUCAAACGACUAAACUAAGAGUAUUCUAAAAGCUAAAAAUACAUAAGAAGCUAGUCCAUGCAGGAAGUUCAAGGCAUCAAGACUUGAAGAAGAAGAUCCAGUCCAAGCUAGAAGCAUUAGCUCACCCUGAAUUUCCGAUGUAGCAAGACUGACUUGAAUUACUGUUGAGUUGAAGACGAUGGCACGUUUGCUGCACUCCACAAAUAAACAAGAAGAGAACAUAAAAGUAGGGGUCAGUACAAAACACGGGUACUGAGUAGAUAUCAUCGGCCAACUCAAAAUAGAAAUCAAUAUAUACCAAGUAAUAUCAUAAAAUCAACUAUGAUACUCAACAUGUAGCAACAACAAAUACUAUAUCGUUAACAAUUACCGUCAAGUUCACACAUGAGGACUCAAGCCUCGAUACCAUACUCAUUUGGGAAUCAUGUUCAUUAGAUUGAGUAUAUUAACAUCUUUCAAGAUUCAUUAUCUUUAUUUCUCUGUGUCGGUACGUGACACUCCGCUCCCUCAAUAUUCAUUAAUCCUCUUGUGUCGGUACGUGACACUCCGAUCCCCUAAAUCUAUGUGUCGGUUCGUGACACCCGAUCCCCUAAAUCUAUGUGUCGGUUCGUGACACCCGAUCCCCUAAAUCUACGUGUCGGUUCGUGACACCCGAUCCCCUAUACUACGUGUCGGUUCAUGACACCCGAUCCCUAAAUCUAUGUGUCGGUUCGUGACACCCGAUCCCCUAAUUCUACGUGUCGGUUCGUGACACCCGAUCCCCUAAUACUACGUGUCGGUUCGUGACACCCGAUCCCCUAAUUCUACGUGUCAGUUCGUGACACCCGAUCCCGAGCCAUCCAAUGGUUCGUGCACACGACUCAUAAUCUCUAUGUCGGUUCGUGACACCCAUCCCCAAAUGUCUACGUGUCGUGUUUCGUGACACCCGAUCCCCUAAUCUAUACGUUGUCGGUUAUGACACCCUCCCUUCACGUGUCAGUUCGUGACACCCGAUCCUACUUAAUUCUACGUGUCGGUUCGUGACACCCGAUCCCUAAUCUCCUUCCAUCAAUUCAUCAAGCCUUCUUUCUCAAUUGUAUCUCAAAAAUGAGAAUUAAUUCUCAAUUGUGCUAAACGUGUAUUUUUAGCGGCAAUUGACACUCUUUGUAUCUGUCCCUUAAACUUUUAAACGACAUUGGUUCUAAUGAAACUUAACUAAUGUCGGUAAAGACUUUAACACUCUUUAUUAGGCCUCAUUUGUUUGCACUUAAUGGAGGUCUGAAUCUAAAUCAUUCAAAUUCAGCUUAUUAAGUACAUUUGGUUUUAGGUUUGAAUCUCAAUCAGCCCAUUAAGUUCAUUUGUUUUAUUUUUAAAAAGCCUCUUAAUGGGUCUGAAGAGGUCUGAAUGAAUCAGAUCUGUAGGAGACUCUUAACAACAUUCAGAUUUGUUUAAUAAGUUAUCAAAUAAUAAAUAUCGCUUCUCUACUUUAACCGUGCUUUUUAUCGCAUAACUAAAAACUUUGUUUUUCUCUUUUCUCAAUCAAACGUCAUUUUCCCCUUCUUGAACUGAUAAAUUUUCAUAAAUCUUUUCAAGUUUUUUUUUAUAUUAAUAAUUUUCUUGUAUUGACUGUGUCAAAAACAUUGUUGGUGUAUUAGCUAGCGUUUAUCAAGGUUUUUGAAUGAAAAAAAUUUCCAAAAUCAUGAUUAUUAAAACUUUUUAUUAUCAAAAGCGAUAUAUUUUGUUGAAAUGAAUUUUUAUUAUUUUUAUUAGUUUAAUGUUAAUUUCACAUGCACAUUCAGAUAUUGAAAACAAACAAUAUUAAUUAUUUAGUGUUCAGAUUUAGAGACCACAUCUUAAUAUUCAGAUGUGUAUUCAGAUCAAAGUACCUGAAUCUUAAUAUUCAGAUGUGUAUUCAGAUUCAGACCUCUUAGUCUGGCUGGAAACAAAUAAGGCCUUCCGCUAUUUUUGUUGUAGUGAGUGGUAAUUAAUUAAAAUUAUAGUUAUAUAAACUAAUUAGCUAGUAUAUGUUUGCUUAACUAUACUAUUUUCCCAAAUAAGUUUAUAUUAUCCAUCAUAAAAUAUAAAUAACCACACGUAUUAGAAUGUAUAAAAAUAAUGUACAAUAGAGUAUAUUAGUAACACUUAUAUAUUAGUAAUAUUUGUAUUAGUUAUGCUUGCAUUAGCUAUAUAUAACUUUUUAUUUAUGCAUUGUUUGGUUUGAUGUAUUAAAAAUAGUACGCAUUGUAUAAUUAUAUUUAUUUACAAAAUAGUCUCCACAAUUAUGACGGAAAAAACGUAAAAUGUUUUUAGGGUCAAUUGGGUCUUUAACCAUAUUAAUACACAUAAAAAUUAAGAAAUUGACGCGACUCCUUAAAAAGGGCAUGUAAUUACAGUGGGCGCGAAAUGGCGUGAGCAUAUGUGAUGAUUCCCCAACUCAAUGCGGAGGAGCUCGUAAAGUUUGCUGAGAAAGUUUUUUGUGUGCUUUGAGCGCAAGAUCCAUGGGUUACCACAUAUGAAAAAUUAAGGAAUUUCUGUAAUUCCUAAAAAAAGGGCCUGUGGGUGUGGAAAUGAGCAAGAAAAUAAUAGCAUGAGCAUACGUGAUAGGUCCCAACUCAUGAAUUUGGAGGUCCUCAUAAAAAAUUUUCAAAUUUUUUUUGCGUGCUCAUGGCUAAAGAUCUAUGGAUAAUACAAAUAGAAAAUUGUGGAAUUUAAGCUAUUUCAAAAAUGGGCCUGAAGAUGCGGAUAUGAGUGAGAAAAAAAUGGUGUGAUCAUGCGCGAUGGUUCCCAACUCAAUAUAGAGGUCAUCCUACAAUUUUCUUAGAAAUUUUUUGAGUGCUCCAAGCGCCAAAUCUAUGAGCUAAUACAUAUAAAAAAAUUGAAGAAUUCACGCGAUUCACAAAAAUGACAUAUGGAUGCGAAAAUGUGCGCGAAAAAAAUGGUGUGAGCAUACAUGAUGGUUCUGCAACUCAAUACGGUGGUCCUCAUAAAGUUCUUUCAGAAACAUCUUUUGGGUGCUCCAAAAGUCAGACCCAUAGGCUAAUACACACAAAAAUUGAAGUAUUUGCGUGAUUUCAGAAAAGGCAUGUAUAUGCAAAAAUGGGAGAAGAAAAUGGUGUGAAUAUAUAUACGUGAUGGUUCCCAACUCCAUACGGAGAUCCAUAUAAAGUUUUUUGAGAAAAUAAUUUUUGGUGCUCCGAAUAUAUCGUCUGUAUGGUUGCUACGGAGCAUCUGAUUUGUAUAGAUCGACAUAUCAUUUGUAUUAAAGCGCAAUGAUUGUAUAUAUAUAACUAUAACAGAGGAGGAGGAGGGACUAGGGAAGAGGAGGAGGAGGAGGAGGAAGUUGUCUCAAUGUAUUUGAUAAAAUAGUUUUUGUGAUAAGAGGCGGACCCACCCUUUUAGGUAGGGUGCACGUGCACUUGUUAAUUUCGGUAAAUAAAAUCAUGAGUUUGUGAGUGUAUGUGUGUGUAUUGAUAUAUAUUGAAAAAUUGAGAGAAAUUAGAAUAUAAUUAACGUACUCAUCAUAAAAAGCAUAAGUAUAUAUGUUAUUGUGCUGCCGGUACAAGCUAAAGUAUGCACAUGCAAGACUUGAAUUUGAAUCUAGCUAGAGUGUUGUUUCACUUUUUUUUAUGUUAAGCUUAUCAUAGAGGCUAAAGCUUAUAUUUGAGCUAAGGUAAUAUUGGUGCACCAACUUCAAAUUCCGAUUCGCCUUUUGCAGCAUUAGUUAUUUUUAGCCAAUACGAUAACUAAAAUGGAUCGGAGGGAAUAUCAUGAUUUGAAUAAAGGAUCUAACCAGAGUCAAAUUUAAAAUAUAUUGAUGAAAUUUCUAAAAUUCCAACGUUAUAUCAUCCUUUUCUUAAGAAUUACCAAAUCAUAAUUAGAGUUGAGAAAAAUUUAAAGCAGAAAAUAACAUGUAUUACUAUAUGAAGAUUGGGUUGUAACAUAAGCAACCACCAAUGUUCAUUACAAGACUCGACAAUAUAUAAGUACUCCAAAUUACAAAAGAAAAGAGACAACAUAUAUAUAUAUAUAUAUAUAUAUAUAUAUAUAAUGAUGGAUCAAACUCGAUAGAUAAAUCCAUCUUAUUCUUCAUCUCCACAAGCCAGAUUUAGCUUUCAUCAACCUUACUGGACCCUGCAAUGCAAUAUUAAAUCAACAUUAAAUAUAUAGUAUGCGCGUACACACAUAUAUAUAUCGUUUUGUAACAUAUAAGUUUAAUCAAUAGUCAGACAUAUAUAAAUUACAAAUAAAAGAGAUAUUAUACUGUCAAUUGAAUAAGUAUAAUCACCGUACGUUGAGCAAUCAGUGGAAGGGCUGAUCUUGUAAGGAAUGUUGACUCCACAAACUCCAGGGAGCCCAGCGGCUUUUCCUGUAUCAAUGCCCUUAAUAGAAUUAGCUGCCGAUUUAAGGCAAGUGCACGCUGUCUUCCGGUCUUCUGGGGUCUUGGCUGCGCCCAAUAGACCCUUAACACCACCACAACACCCUCCUAGAGGGCCGCGACCCUCGAGAUAAGGGAGACAAGGAGCCAAGCCAGACGUAACCUCGCCGCAGCUCAGUGACUCUGCAUGGGGUGCAACCACCACCAUGCAAAAAACCACAAAGCAUGCAAUUUUUCCAAACAUUUCCAUUCUUAUAAAAAAAUUGAGUAAAGAUUAUAGAUAUAGUAGUACAAUUGUAUUUGUUUUGUGUGUUAGGUGUAAAAGCUAGUGAGUAUUUAUAGAGAGGAAAUUAGUGGAAUUAAAAAUGAGAGAAUUAGUUGGGAGUUAAGAGUUAAAUGAAAUGAGUAUAAAGUCAAAUUUCGUUUGUUACGUGACUAAUUUUUAUUGAACCACGCUAUACACGAUUUAAGGCCCAAUCCACAAAUUGUCCCAAUACUACUUUUCCUGUUACAGUGACGAAGUCAGAAAAUUUAAUUUAUCGUAAUCUUUUUCUUAAAAUAAUGUGUGUUCGAUGGCUCUACUCAUGCUUUGAAUCAUUUUAUUUUUUAUUCUUUAUGGUAUAAAGUAAAUGUUUUUUUUUUAGAAAAAAAAAAAAUACAAGGAGAAGAGUGGUUAUUAAAUAAAGAAGAGUAAUAAAUAAGGAGAAGGGUGGGAUGUAAAAAAGUCAUAAUACAUGAAAUUGAUUAAACAAUGUCUCGAGUACAAACUAAGGAGACAGAGUACCUUACUGUUAGAUGUGGAAAUAUUAUGGUACAUGAGUUAAUUUUGAAACAAAUGACCCAUUAAUUUCUUUUAAAAAUUGGAUUUAAGGUGUAAUGUUUAUUUAUUUAAAUAAAUCAAUUUGCUUUCAUGACUUUUUUUUUUUAAAAAUGAGUUUAAGGUGUAAAGUUUAUUACUUAAUUAUAAAUGAUUAAAUAUUUUUUGUAUGUUCAAUACAAAUGCUUGUUUCCGGUCAAAAAGAUCAUGAAAAAAGUAUACAAAAUAAUUAAACCUAUAGCAAAAUUAUAAUUAUGUGUUAUAGUUAUAAGUUGCAUAAUUUGCUCACCAUAGCGAAUAUGCUAUGGCUAUUUCGCUACAUAUAUAUAUAUAAAAGAAUUUAAGAUAUAUAUAUUUAUAUAUAUAUAUAUAUGUGUGUGUGUGUUAUAGUUAUAAGUUGCAUAAUUUGCUCACCAUAGCGAAUAUGCUAUGGCUAUUUCGCUACAUAUAUAUACAAAAGAAUUUAAGAUAUAUAUAUAUUUAUAUAUAUAUAUAUAAUAAUAUAUAUUUGCAUAAAUUAUUGUCCGUCUCUCGUGGCUGCCUUUCAAUUCAAUUUAUGUGUUUGUAUAUCUGUAUAUAAUUUGAAUUUGUAUACAAUUUAAUCGAAAUAAAAAUGUUGGUAAUCAAUCAAAAAUUGCUCUCUGUUAUACAUUGUAUUUUAUAUAAUCUAUACUUCUAUAAAGCGAGAAAGAGAAAGACAAAAGAGACCUAAGCAUGAGAAUAUUUGGAUUGUAUAAUUAUAAGUGUAUAGAACAAAAAUAUUUGUAUUUGCAUGUGUACAUACAUUUUCUUCCGCUUUGUACAAACAGAAACACAUUCAAAUAUUAUAAUCGUUAAAGUCAAAGUUACAACGGAAAAUGAAACUAACAAGAAAAUCGUAAAACGAUAAUGAACUAGUAAAACAAAGAAACCAUUGAAGAAGAGACUACUAGAAGGGAGAUGAGAAACACAGACUCAAAAAAAGGAAUGAGAGGACUAGACACUUUUCUACAAUAAUUUACGUAAUCCCUAAAUCACGUAUUACUUAUAUUGAAAGUUCGAACCGUUUUAUACCCACUACUCAAUUCGAAUCCCAAAUUAACCUGGUCCUAUAUUUUUAGCCCAAUAACAACUUAUAUGACAUUAAUAUCUAUAUUUGGUUAAACUUGAUUCAUAACAUAUUGCUCCUACCCAUAUUUUUAUUUUGUUGUGAAUUGAUAUUAAUUACUUUAUAAGCUAUUUUUAAAAAGGAAUAUGUUUAUUAUAAAAUGACAUUACAAACUUAAAAUAAUUUGUCAAAAAAAUUUAAAAAUUUGAGGCACACUAGAUGUGUACCGUGUUGUGAUAGAUGGGUUGUGUAGAGAGAGGAGAUUUACGAAAGCACAAAAUUGUUUGAUAACAUACUUUUUAAUUUGCUUUUAUAAUCCUCUUUUUUUAGAAAUAUUUUAUUUUUAGUUUUUAGGUAACAUGUUUAAGGUCAUAAUAAGACUAAAUGUCGUUUUGAUAUAUUUGACAUAACUUCAAUUUAGGAUCACAAGAUUAAAUUAUCUUUUUAAACUUUGUAUCAAGUUAAAUUAGAUUGUUAUUUUUUUGAAAUGAGAGAAAAUGAUCAAAUGACCCCUUAACGACGUAUAACCGGAUUUUCAACUAUACACUUAAAUUUUAUGGGAGUCCUAUCACCCUCUGAACUAUUUAAAAAUGAAAUAAUUAUACCGUUAAAAAGCCAUAACCACCAAAUCUAUGGUGGAAUGUGAGUUUCACCACAUCAUCAAAUUAUUAUUUUUUUAAUUCUUUUCUUAUAUAUUCUUACCUAUCUCUUGAAAUACUGAAGAUAUUUUCACCAUUUUCACCAUUACUAGAACACCACGAGUCCAUUAAAAUUGGGUCUUUAAGGAAUAAUAAUAAUUUCAGAGCUCGUUCAAAGAUAUUUGGAUUUUGCUCAUUUGAAACCUAAAAAUCAAAUUAGAAAAAGUUGAAGGGGGAAGAGAAGACGAAUAUGAUGGAAUAUUGCCAUUAAUGGUGGUCACCGAAGAUAAGAAAUCCUCUCAAGAAAGAUGAGGAAGAGGAGCCUACCAUGUCUUCCACAUUGUCAUCUAUAGCGACGACAAUUUCAAAAAAGAAGACACCGAUUAUACGACAAUUGAUGGACUAACUAGAUUAAUAGCUAGAAUUUUUGAGAUAUAGUUGAUUAAUUGAGAUUUGAUAUUAGUAAUUAAAGGAUAUAUUAGAAAAAAUUAUUUUUUUCUGGUUGGCCCAAUCAGAUUCAAAGUAAACUCAUAUUAAUUUUUCUCAAAUCAGAUCCAAAGCAUCUUGGGGUGAUAUAAAUAUAUGUCAUCAAUUGAUUUAGGUUGAUUGAUUUUGCAAGAGCUUUAUAAAUGUUUGAAAAUUUGUUUGGAGUCGACGAAAGUGAAGAUGGUGGCUGUAAGACUUAGGUGAUUGAGAGAUUUGUUUAUAUUGAUGGACAAGAAAGAAAACAAACAAAUAAUUAAAAAUGCAUAUAUUUGUUGAAAAAAGAUAUUCCAUCUGUUUCACAAAAAAUGAUUUGGUUUGACUUGACAUGAAGUUUAAGUAAAUAAAGAAGACUUUUGAAUCUUGUGGUCGUAAAUCAAAGUUAUGUCAAAUGUACAAAAUUAUCUUUUAAUUUUAUGGUCUUAAAUAUGGCACGUGGAAAGCUAAAGUUAAAAUGUUAGAGGUCAUUCUUUUGGAAAUAAACUAAAAUGGAAAGAAUGUCACUCUUUUUUAAAUAAAAAAGAGUUUAACUACUAUCCACCGACGGUGGACAAAAAAUUACACGGGCAUAUUAUUUUUGGAAAUAUUUAAUUUUUUAAUUAAUAUAUUUUAAUAUUAUAAUAUUAAAAUAAAAAUAAUAACAGAGUGUUAUAUGGUAACUUGAAUUAUAAAUUAAUUGUACAAAUUUAAUUAGGAUUCUUAUUUGUCUUACCAAAACAAAAAAUACAUAAUUUCUUGUGUUUUCUUAUUGGAAAGCACUUCAAUCCUUCAAAGAAAAUCAUUGCCAACAUAUUUUUUUUUAUAAGAACCGGUACUUGUUGCCAUUGAAGCAAUGCUAGCAAAAUAUUAAUAAGAAACUAUUCCAGAAACAUAAAGUGCAACAAAAUCAACAUAUUCAAACUUAUAAGAGUAAGCAAAACAAAAUCAAACACUAUUAAAUACGGCCCAUGAUUUAAUCACAAUUGCAUGCUUGGUUACAUUUUUUUAAACGAAAUCCUUCUUUUGAACAAACAAACUCUUGACCAAUAAUGGAUUUAUCUUUUCUUGAUCUACUAAUUCGAUUUUUGCGCACACUAAAACCAUUACGAUGAGCAUAAUCAAGAUAAAAUUUAAAUCUAGUAUCAAGUGAUUGAAAUUCCAUACCGAUGUAAGACUCUCUUAAUUCUUGCUCACCUAGUUGAGGAACAAAAGAUACAACUGCAUUCAUGUUGCUUUCUAUAUCCUCCAAGGAAUCUUCAAUUCCUUCUGCAUUUUGCUCUUCUAAAUUAGAGAUUUCAAAAGUUUCCUGCAAUACACAAUUAUUAGAUAUUAGACUAAUAGGGUAAGUUAGCUUUAAAAUUUUAAAUAUUUUUCAUGGCUAAUGUAUUGAACUUCUUCAAUUUGCUAAAAAGUUCUUAAACGUAUUCUUUAAAUAUCUUCAUCACUACAAAACAUAAAUUUCUUCAUACAUUAAAACAAGAAUAUUUCUUUGAAACGUUUAUUCAUGUUGCGAAAAAGAUUUAAUAAGUUAUGUAAAAAAAGAUAUACGAGGAAAACGCUACCAUGAUAAUUGUUUCAAAUUGCUUCAAUGGUGGAUAGUUGGUUGCUUCAAUGGUUUAUGUAGAAAAAGAAGAACGUUAAUCCAACUAAGAAAACACAAGAAAUUAUGUAUUUUUUAUUUUUGGUAAGACAAAUAAGAAUCCUAAUUAAAUUUGUACAAUUAAUUUAUAAUUCAAGUUACCAUAUAACACUAUGUUAUUAUUUUUAUUUUAAUAUUAAUAAUAUUAAAAUAUAUUAAUUAAAAAAAUUAAAUAUUUCCAAAAAUAAAAUGUCCGUGUAAUUUUUUGUCCACCGUCGGUGGAUAGCAGUUAAACUCUAAAGAUCAAAUAAAGUUUUAAUAACAGAUUUUGGUGCUCACUCUCCAGAGAGAGUCAAAUACAUUUAGGGAACUAAUUAUUUCAAUUUUGAAUAGUACAAGGGAUGAUUAGACCCCCGUGAAAUUUAAUUGUAUAGCGUUGAGGGCAUUUAAUCAUUUUCUCUUUGAAACAGAGAAUAUAUAUCAUUACGGAUCUAAUCUCCAAAAGAUGAAGAGUGAGUAAACCCUGAAUAAUUUGCGACAUUUAAUACGUUGUUUACUUUAAUUAAUGGACUUAUAAUAAUAAGUUGGAAAGGACCGAAAAAGUUUAAUAUAUAUUGCAUGGUGAAUUUGUACCUUCAUGAAUUUAUUUAAAAGUAUACUUUUUAUAGGCAUUUGUGAUGGUGAUGAUGUUAUAAGUAUAUUUCUCAAUAAUUAGCAUUAUACGUGUAAGAAGUGGUUAGAAAAAGGAGGUACCUAGAUGAAUGAGCACACAAUAGCGUAUACUAUAUUACUCGAAUUUGAUAUAUAUGUGUAAUGCAUAUUAAAAGAACCCUAGUAAAAGUAGACCAAAAAUAUUGAAUAGACGAGAGAGUACAUAUACCAAAUAAGAUAGAUGUGUAUUAUCAAAGAUUAGAUUAAUACAACAUAGCCAAUCGUGAAAUUUCGAUACAAGACUCGACUACACACGAUUUUAAAAGAAACACAGGAAAACAGAAAGUAACAACUGAUAUAAUAUAAUCAAUCGUCAAAUUUCGAAACAAGACUCGAGUACAUACGAUUUUAAACGAAACACAGAAAAAAGAGAAAGUGACAACUGAUACAACAUAGAAAGAAAGGAUCCAUAAGCAAGAUCAAUGCUAUCUAUCUUAUUCUUAAUUCUCCUCAUGAAACCAAAUUCUGAUGAUCAGCUUUACUGAACUCUGC
rnacentral:lncRNA from 1 species